rnacentral:rRNA from 1 species
CUUGUAAAAGUGAGCAAAUCUGAAAAGUUGGUCUCAGUUCGGAUUGAGGGCUGCAAUUCGUCCUCAUGAAGCUGGAAUCACUAGUAAUCGCGAAUCAGCUAUGUCGCGGUGAAUACGUUCUCGGGUCUUGUACACACCGCCCGUCAAACUAUGAAAGCUGGUAAUAUUUAAAAACGUGUUGCUAACCUUUAUUGGAAGUGCAUGUCAAGGAUAGCACCGGUGAUUGGAGUUAAGUCGUAACAAGGUACCCCUACGAGAACGUGGGGGUGGAUCACCUC